AAAUAUUAUUAUUAUUAUUAUUAAUAUUAUGUUGAAAAAAAUGAAAAAAAUUCAUUGACGUAAAUAGUAUACAUGACUAACUCCACCUGAACACAGCCUAGGGACUGACUUGGAAAUAAAGAUACAAGGGAGAGUACAACAAGCUAUCUAAGUGUCUGGACACUAUUCAGCCUGUUGGCUGUUUUUGGCCUUGACUAGACAUGAGCAUGAAUCGCGUUUUCUACCACCUCUUUAGACAGAACCACCAGUUUGGGGGCGUGGGACUAUGUCUAGUGUGGUUGAAACAUGAAGCUCGACACGGGACGCUUAAGCAUCCAGCACUGUUAAUUCCCUCGUAUUACAGCAAAAAGGCUGUUCCGACACCAACUUCUUACAAACCUACUUUGUAACACAAUACCUUGGGCUAGAUUCUUUUUGCACAUGGCUUGAACCUUGAACCAC
rnacentral:lncRNA from 1 species